GUUAAGUGACGAAGCGUAUACGGUGGAUGCCUUGGCAGUUAGAGGCGAUGAAGGACGUGUAAGUCUGCGAAAAGCUGUGGUGAGCCGACAAAAUGCAUUUGAGCCACAGAUGUCCGAAUGGGGAAACCCACCUGUUUACAGGUAUCGUUAACUGAAUACAUAGGUUAACGAGGCAAACGAGGGGAACUGAAACAUCUAAGUA
rnacentral:rRNA from 16 species